UCACGGAUUUCUCGCUUGCUGUCAUUGGUCACUAUGGCAAGAUGAUUGCCAAUCUUAAUCUUAGUUCACUCCGAAAUGUGAGUCAGAAGGGAUUUUGGGUCAUGGGUAAUGCUCAGGGUCUCCAGUCUCUCGUUGCUUUGACGAUCACCUUAUGCAGAGGAGCCACAGAUGUUGGUCUUGAAGCUGUGGGAAAGGGAUGCCCGAACGUUUCUUUAACGAUCACCUUAUGCAGGGGAGCCACAGAUGUUGGUCUUGAAGCUGUGGGAAAGGGGUGUCCGAAUCUGAAACAUAUCUGCAUUCGCAAGUGUUGCGUUGUUUCUGACGGUGGACUGGUUGCUUUCGCCAAAGCUGCUGGAUCUCUU
rnacentral:lncRNA from 1 species